AUGCUCAGCCCCUGCCUGACCGCUUCCCACCGCCCCGCGGGGCAGGUGCCUGCGACCCGAGCCCCGCGAACCCCCGCCCGGUGGCUGAGUCCCUCGGAUGAUCUCCGUCCCGGUCCUUCUGCCCAGACACCGAAUGAGACGACUUUCCCACCUUCCGGGGGCCUGGCCCGUGACUCGCAGGCCUCCUGGCUAAACGGUUUCCUGAGGGGAAAACAGGACCACGGGGCCUUGCUGAGAACUCCCUGCCAUCGGUCAGGACGCCACCAAGGCUGAGUUCUCUGAGAUGCAAACCCUUCAGCACCGGCCUCUCCCGUCUUUCCAGGAUUCCGGGGCCUUAGGGGCCCUCGGAGUUACAACCUUCGCGCAGGACCAGGUGGUAACCAGUCUAGGCUCCGAGAGCCGGGAGGGGUGUGUCGUGAGCGGUCACCUCUGCCACAGACAGCUGGGGGAUGAGCGGGUGUGGCUGUGUUCCCAUCAAACAUUCCUUGAGAAAACAGGCCGAGGACUGGGUGUGGCCGGGAGGCCGUGUUGCUGACCCCUGGCUUCGAGAAAGGCAGAAGGGAAGACGUUCACCGGCUACGUUUCUUUUCUUCCUGAGUUCAGGACACCGUCACGGCCCCUGGGGGCUCGGGAACUGCUCAUUCAGAAGCGUCUGUGACCUCCCACGCCAGCUGGUUCCCCUGUAAGUCGGGGGUCUCCCCCACCGCCCCCCAACAGGAGGUGCAAACCCAUCUCCUGCUGGAUCCACACAGGGUGGGGUGUCCCCAAAUCGUAGCAACUCGCCUAUCUUUCUGCUCCUUGAGUUUCCAACUAGGACGAUUAAAAAAAACCCAAGAACUACUUUCGAGGCCCUUGCAGACGGCCAUUGGCAGGGUGCCAGCCGCGGCUGGUGCUGUGACGGCAGGGUCCUCUCUGAACCAGCCGGAUGGUGCCUUCUACCCGGGAGAGCAAAUUCCAAGGGACUUCUGGGGCUAAAGCUCCAAGCCCCCGAUGCAAGAAUGCUGCCUCCCCAGGCCGACUGGAGUGCCUCCAAGCAGGUGAGAGACAUCGCCGUUGCCCUGUGGGUGUUUGCACAGUUACCUGCAACAGUUAUUAAAGCCAAGUAGCUAAGACACUUAGAGUGAAUUUUAACACUUAUUUAUUUUUGAGCGCAUGCGCGCGAGAGAGAACGAGCAGGGGAGGGGCAGAGAGAGAGGGAGACACAGAAUCCGAAGCAGCUCCAGGCCCUGAGCUGUCAGCACAGAGCCCGACGCGGGGCUCGAACCCACGAACC
rnacentral:lncRNA from 1 species